GAUGAACGCUGGCGGCGUGCCUAAUACAUGCAAGUCGAGCGAACAGACGAGGAGCUUGCUCCUCUGACGUUAGCGGCGGACGGGUGAGUAACACGUGGAUAACCUACCUAUAAGACUGGGAUAACUUCGGGAAACCGGAGCUAAUACCGGAUAAUAUAUUGAACCGCAUUGUUCAAUAGUGAAAGACGGUUUUGCUGUCACUUAUAGAUGGAUCCGCGCCGCAUUAGCUAGUUGGUAAGGUAACGGCUUACCAAGGCAACGAUGCGUAGCCGACCUGAGAGGGUGAUCGGCCACACUGGAACUGAGACACGGUCCAGACUCCUACGGGAGGCAGCAGUAGGGAAUCUUCCGCAAUGGGCGAAAGCUUGACGGAGCAACGCCGCGUGAGUGAUGAAGGUCUUCGGAUCGUAAAACUCUGUUAUUAGGGAAGAACAAAUGUGUAAGUAACUAUGCACGUCUUGACGGUACCUAAUCAGAAGGCCACGGCUAACUACGUG
rnacentral:rRNA from 1 species